AAUCUGUGUUGUGGACACUUCUGCAAGAGAUCCUUGAAUCACUUCCACGUCUAAACAAGGAUUCAAGCUCCCUCUGAACAAAUGAUGAUAUCUCAUUAUGAAGUUU